CGGGGGCCCGCACAAGCGGUGGAGCAUGUGGUUUAAUUCGACGCAACGCGCAGAACCUUACCAGCCCUUGACAUGUCCAGGACCGGUCGCAGAGAUGUGACCUUCUCUUCGGAGCCUGGAGCACAGGUGCUGCAUGGCUGUCGUCAGCUCGUGUCGUGAGAUGUUGGGUUAAGUCCCGCAACGAGCGCAACCCUCGCCCUUAGUUGCCAUCAUUCAGUUGGGCACUCUAAGGGGACUGCCGGUGAUAAGCCGAGAGGAAGGUGGGGAUGACGUCAAGUCCUCAUGGCCCUUACGGGCUGGGCUACACACGUGCUACAAUGGCGGUGACAAUGGGAUGCAAAGGGGUGACCC
rnacentral:rRNA from 1 species